rnacentral:rRNA from 1 species
CACACGGCGGGUGCUAACGUCCGUCGUGAAGAGGGAAACAACCCAGACCGCCAGCUAAGGUCCCAAAGUCAUGGUUAAGUGGGAAACGAUGUGGGAAGGCCCAGACAGCCAGGAUGUUGGCUUAGAAGCAGCCAUCAUUUAAAGAAAGCGUAAUAGCUCACUGGUCGAGUCGGCCUGCGCGGAAGAUGUAACGGGGCUAAACCAU